rnacentral:lncRNA from 1 species
AGACCAAAGGCCGAGCACUGCAGGAGUCCAGCCACCGGGAGUGGGGCCAAGAGAUGGUUGGCCGAGGGACAAACAGCGCAGGUGUCCCCAGGUCGGACUCUGGCUCUCAGGAGUAGUGACCCCUGGGAGUUGAGCUUGGAGCCUAGAGAGCUGGCAGAGCCCAGCUGGGCCACUUAUGGUCACUGCCGACAUCAAGAACUUCCCCCCCACCCCCGAGAGGGCGAUGUGGACCGACAGGGUUUUGUGUCUUCACUGUGUUUGACCAUGUUCAUCAUCGAGGGUCAUGCGCCCCAGGAAGAUGGGGCAGCAUUCACUCCAGGGGGUUCUCUGUGGUGGGGGAUGGGCUGCACAUCACCGUGGAUCUGCAUGGGGAAGCUGCUAGUGAGGGAGGGUCCCAGGGUGCUCAGAGCCAGCUGAGCAGAUGUCACAUUGCUACCCAGUCAUACCCUUGGAGAGCCACUGCCCAAAGGUCUCCAUAGAUAGUCUCCGCCCAGACCCCUGGGACGCCCGCCAUUUUGUCCAGUUAUGUUUCUCCUGCACCCUGGCCUCAGGAAUUCUUUGGAAUUAAGGCAAGCUAGCUAGUGUCUGGCUGGAGCAGCUCUUCUGGAGCCUGAGACUCCCUCACCCCCACCCCCUGCUGCUACCUUGGCUGGGCCCCUCUAGAUGCCUCUCCACAACCUGCGGGGGUAGAAACUGGCCAAUGAAAGUGCUUUGGAAUUUGAGCCAAGUAGCCCCUGUUGGCCCCUUGUGGAGUCUCUGUUUCUGGCUGCAGAGGGUCCAGUGAUAUUUCUGGGGAGAGCUACAUACCCGCCAGGCAGCAGACGCAGAAAGUUGUUAACCCAUUCCCUGACUUGGAGACUGAGGCCUGGCGAUGGGGAGGCUGAAGCCAGAGUCGCUCCUGGAGCAGUUAAGGCCUUUCUGGGCUCCCCGCUCAGCCCUACUAGACGGCGAGUCCCAGUUUACUCAGGCUUCCAGACUUUGCCCUGUGUGGGUGGCAGCAUGGGUUGAGGAGGGAUCUCUAGGGCAAAGCAUCACUAAGUCCUGGGACCAGGAACCUGUUGCCCCCUCUGGGUCUGCCUCUGCUUUCUUUCUGUCGAGGGCAAUGCUGGCCCUACAGAGGCAGGCCCUGGGAGUCUGUCCUGGCACAAGGAUCUCCCUUUCAGAGAGAGAGGAGGAGGAAGGAUAAGAUGUAGGUAGGUCUGUCUUGGGGCUGUCCACGCAUCCUCCCAGAUUCCGGAACACAUGAGCCGCCUUCUGAAAUUCAGGAAGGAAACUCGCAGUGGGAGGAAGGAGACCGCCAGGCCCCAUUAAAGGCCGGAGGAAACUGGUCACUGCUCAAUGGACACAUUGCAAGGAAGCCAAAUGUGCGCUGCGCUGUUCAUCUCUUAUUAAAACGUUGGUGACGG